CCCGCAGAUUUGGCAUCAAGGGGCUCACUUUGAUAAGAGCUCCUACAGAUGCAGUCCUUGAGGGAGACGCGGGGACUGAGGGCAACUCAGCUUCCCAAUCAGAGGUGGAGAAGCCCCCGAACACUCUUGAGAUGAGUGUUCAUGAUGCGGAGGCUAUGGUUGACUCCAUACUUCGGGAUUCU